GGGAUGGAGGUGGGUAGGGGAAGAAGGUGAGGAGGUGCUUUGACCAGGAAAAGCGCUGAGAACGUGUGGAAACAGGCCUCCGAAGGAAUGGAAGGGAAAAAUACUUGGGACCACAAUUGCAGACAGAAUGCCAUGGAGUUGCUGUUCCUUGCCCAUGAGUUAAUGACAAGGUUCCUCCCCUUUGGAUGCCAACUAAACAGGAGCCGGCAGGGCAUCCCCUGGCUCUGCAGCCCAGCCAGGCCUGGAAUCUGCCCCAAACACAAUCACAGGUAUUCCCAAGGCUUGAAGUCCAUCCAGAGACUAGUCAUUUGAUGCAAUUGCCUGUGGUCUGAAAAACAAACUCCCACCCAAACAUAUUAUACCUGAGGAGACUGCAGUCUCAAUGAUCAUGUCUCCCAGGACUCAGACCCACUCGGACCACAGGAUCUUUCUAAAGGCAUGACCGACAGAAGUGUGCACAAUUCCACCAUGUAAUUUUUGUCUGGGAGGUGAAGUACCUCUGUCGUUACAUCAUUUUCCUUAGCGUAGCGAUCCCUUAAGAGAGGAAAGCCUGACCAAGAUCCCUUCUCCAAGUCAACCAUGGAAAUAACCUUUUAAUAGUCUCUCCUGUCUUCCGUGACCUUGUACAGCUUUCACACACAAUUUCUCAUUUUAUCCUCAGAACAACGCAUCAAGACCCGCAUCGUGCACACCCGUUCAGCUCAGCCAGCGUGUACCUGCCCACUACUGCACAGCCCAGGGCUUCAUGGCCUACCAGGCACAAGCACAUGGGACCCUCUGGAAGAAGGUGAUGAAUCAGCAAGAGCCUGAUGAAAGAGGUGAUGAAUAUCAAAUCACCUACACCCGUGGUUGGCUGAGGGUAAGUUUGGGGCAACGGACAGACAAGCAGCCAACCAUAACCAGAGACAGAGGAGUAGGUCCUGCAAAGGGCCAAGGCUAGAACUCAGAACCAGCCCUUUCCCCCUGCAACAGUGGCUCCCAACUUCUUUCCAUGUUAGAAUCACCUGGGGCCUUUCAAAAACUCCAAAGUCACAGCCACAUGCCAGACCAGGGAAAUCACACUCUCUGGAGUUGGGCAGGUAAGUUUCCCAAGUGAUUCCAAUAUGUGGACCAGUUUUGGAGCUACCGUCCUUGCACCCCCAAGAAUCCCGAUAAAUGGCCACACGUCAGGCUAAGUGCCUUGAGAUAGG